UUUCCACAUUUUCAAGCUCCCGCUCCAAAGAAACCUCUCAAAAGCUCCAUCUCCAUUAAAGCUUUUCAAGUCUCGUUGCAAUCUCCAUUGAAGUUCUCCCUCGCCUUUCUAGGCUCCUGCUGUUAUAACUUCAUCAUUAAGGCCUGCUUGAUAUUCACUUGAAACAGGGGAAGAUAAUUUCAGCAAGCAUCAAUAUGAGAUAAUGACUCAAUCUCUUCAAUCAGAGAUAUACUUAAAAAUUCAGAGGAUUCAAGGCAACUAU